rnacentral:lncRNA from 1 species
CUGUUUCAAUUGCUCAUCACAUCCCACCCCAACCCAUCAUGAUUGGACCACACUGUCUGUCCGACAGAAUCAUCUCCGGCCAACCCGAAAAUUCCGGCAGUAUCUCCAUCCGCUCUGAAAGCAGCAACACCAGUGCUCGUUCCUUCGCCUUCCCCAUGUACGUACCUUCGAAUUCACUCUUCAAUCUCAUUGAUUAAAAGAAGAAGAAAUUAAAAAAUAUAUCCACCUGUUAAUUUGCAGAUUGCAGUCGGAAGGACAUUUGAGUCCAGUGAAGAUGGCGAGAGCAGAACGACGACGGCGUUACUGGAAAAUCCGAUAUCGUCUCUGCUGCAAAUUCUAAAAUCAACCCAAACAAGUUAUUUUUUUUCUAUCAG